rnacentral:rRNA from 1 species
GACGAACGCUGGCGGCGUGCUUAACACAUGCAAGUCGAACGGAAAGGCCCUGCUUUUGUGGGGUGCUCGAGUGGCGAACGGGUGAGUAACACGUGAGUAACCUGCCCUUGACUUUGGGAUAACUUCAGGAAACUGGGGCUAAUACCGGGUAGGAGCUCCUGCUGCAUGGUGGGGGUUGGAAAGUUUCGGCGGUUGGGGAUGGACUCGCGGCUUAUCAGCUUGUUGGUGGGGUAGUGGCUUACCAAGGCUUUGACGGGUAGCCGGCCUGAGAGGGUGACCGGCCACAUUGGGACUGAGAUACGGCCCAGACUCCUACGGGAGGCAGCAGUGGGGAAUAUUGCACAAUGGGCGGAAGCCUGAUGCAGCAACGCCGCGUGCGGGAUGACGGCCUUCGGGUUGUAAACCGCUUUCGCCUGUGACGAAGCGUGAGCGACGGUAAUGGGUAAAGAAGCACCGGCUAACUACGUG